UACGUAGGGGGCAAGCGUUGUCCGGAAUCAUUGGGCGUAAAGCGUGCGCAGGCGGUUCGUCGUGUCCGAUGUGAAAGCCCCGGGCUCAACCUGGGAAUGGCAUUGGAAACUGGCGGGCUUGAGUGUGGCAGAGGGGGGUGGAAUUCCGCGUGUAGCAGUGAAAUGCGUAGAGAUGCGGAGGAACACCGAUGGCGAAGGCAGCCCCCUGGGCUGACACUGACGCUCAGGCACGAAAGCGUGGGGAGCAAACAGG
rnacentral:rRNA from 1 species